UGGGGAAUUUUGCACAAUGGGGGCAACCCUGAUGCAGCGACGCCGCGUGAUUUAGAAGGCCUUCGGGUUGUAAAAAUCUUUUGUAUAGGAAGAAAAUGACAGUACUAUACGAAUAAGGUCCGGCUAAUUACGUGCCAGCAGCCGCGGUAAUACGUAAGGACCGAGCGUUGUCCGGAAUCAUUGGGCGUAAAGGGUACGUAGGCGGUUAAAAAAGUUAGAAGUGAAAGGCUAUAGCUCAACUAUAGUAAGCUUUUAAAACUGUUUAACUUGAGAGAUGGAAGGGAAAGUGGAAUUCCUAGUGUAGCGGUGAAAUGCGCAGAUAUUAGGCGGACUACCGGUGACGAAGGCGACUUUCUGGCCAUUAUCUGACGCUGAGGUACGAAAGCGUGGGUAGCAAACAGG
rnacentral:rRNA from 1 species